rnacentral:rRNA from 1 species
AGUGAACGCUGGCGGUAGGCCUAACACAUGCAAGUCGAACGGCAGCACAGUAAGAGCUUGCUCUUACGGGUGGCGAGUGGCGGACGGGUGAGGAAUACAUCGGAAUCUACUUUUUCGGGGGGGAUAGCGUAGGGAAACUUACGCUAAUACCGCAUACGACCUACGGGUGAAAGCAGUGGAGCUUCGGACCUUGCGCGAUUGAAUGAGCCGAUGCCGGAUUAGCUAGUUGGCGGGGUAAAGGCCCACCAAGGCGACGAUCCGUAGCUGGUCUGAGAGGAUGAUCAGCCACACUGGAACUGAGACACGGUCCAGACUCCUACGGGAGGCAGCAGUGGGGAAUAUUGGACAAUGGGCGCAAGCCUGAUCCAGCCAUGCCGCGUGGGUGAAGAAGGCCUUCGGGUUGUAAAGCCCUUUUGUUAGGAAAGAAAAGCAGCAGGUUAAUACCCCGCUGUUCUGACGGUACCCAAAGAAUAAGCACCGGCUAACUUCGUG